GAGAAGGAAAGCGAGGUUAGUAUAAUGAAGAGAAUACAAGAAGAUUAGAUGUUCCUCAAGGCAGGAUUGUUCUGUUCAGUGAUCAGCAGUGUGGCCAUCGCAAGAACACCCGCGAGAACUCGUCACAAGAACCUCCAUUAAAUAGCCGCGUGGGUUCGUUACACAGCAACACAGCAAAACGAGGAAUGACGAGGAGGAUUCACAGCAAGGGAGCGAGGAGUGACGUGCAGUAACCAAGAACCCGAGGAGCGAGGGAUACGAGGAGGCGGGAGUGCAGCAAAGCUCCUGGCAGACUCAGGGAAGGCGGGACACUCAGACCAGACUCCUGCACCGCCUCCAGGUCUCCCAUCCGUCACCACCUGCAGGAAGGCAAAGAAUCAUUAUUGCAUUCUCGUACCUGGUGACUAUUGAUACUACCUCUCUCUCUCUCUCUCUCUCUCUCUCUCUCUCUCUCUCUCUCUCUCUCUCUCUCUCUCUCUCUCUCUCUCUCUCUCUCUCUCUCUCUCUCUCUCUGACAUUUAGCCAAGUACACGAAUAUUACAAACACAAACGAUUAAGAACACCAAGGAAUAGAAAAAAGUUGGGUAAAUAGAAUGAAAAGUAACAAAGUAAGGAAAAUAAUUGUUCACGCGUGUGUCAUUUUAAGUAAUUUUAAGUAAUUUUAAGUAAUUGUCUUGUGGCGUGAGCAGCAAAUCUUUAAUGACAGCCAAUUAAGAGUCACAAAUUGGAAGGCAGUAGAGGAAAAAAAG